rnacentral:snRNA from 1 species
AUACCUUUCUCGGCCUUUUGGCUAACAUCAAGUGUAGUAUCUGUUCUUAUUAGUUUAAUAUCUGAUAUGUGGGCCAUUGGUCCACAAGAUAUUAACUCUAUUUAUUUAGGUGGAAGGCUCAUCAAGGUAGCUUGCUACCUGGGCCUUUAAGGCUGGCGUGGCGCAGCCCACCAAAU